GCACUGCUGAGGAGUCCCAUACUUGAACGAAACAGCCGUCCAGUGC
rfam:Schistosoma curassoni strain Dakar, Senegal genome assembly, scaffold: SCTD_scaffold0001984